CCUGCGUCCCCUUUUUUGUGUCUUCUUUUCUCAUAUCCUCCUAUCCUCAUUGCCUAUUUUUGAACCCUCGACCUCUCCACUUCGAAAAAUCCGCUGGCGGGAAUAUACCCGCUUUUUCCACUACAACGUUUGGUUUUUCAUUAUUCGAAGUCAUUUGCCUUAUAGGAGGAGAGAAGGAGAAGGAGAAGGCGAGAAAAGACGGCCUUGCCUUCUCACAUCUCCGGACAUCUGCGGAAGGCUGCUUCAUUGUGUUAUAUGAUUUGUCUCCCUUGUGACGAAUACCUACCGGGACGAACCUCACUCCUGGGCAAG
rnacentral:sRNA from 2 species